GCCCCGCCCGCCUCCCCUUCCAGAGCGUCGGGCCGGCGUGGGGCGCGCCCGGGUCCCGAGCCGGCGGGCGGGCGGCGGGGAGGAGGCGGCGGCGGAGCAGGAGGACGGAGCAGCGCGGCGCGGCCGCCCGACACCAUGGCCCUGGCUGAGCAGUGUCGAAGAGGAAAACCUGAAAGGAGGAGGAUUUUUGAAGGAAAGGAAACUGGAAAAGAGGAGGGCAGUUUUACCUGAAUUGUUUUGCCUGGAGAAAUAAAGGUGCAUAAGUACAUUACGGCAGCAUGACCUUCCACCCCUUCUCCCCGGACCAGCUCCUCUUCAGCCUUCACAACGAAUGCUGGAAUCCACGGAUGUGGCGAUCACUCCCUGAUCCGGGCAGACUCUGAAACACGUUCUCCUGAUUUUCCACAGCUCUCUUCAUCCCUCCGUUAUUGUGCUGUCUCGUGUGAGCGUUACCCUUUAGGUGUCUGCUGCCCUAGACGAGGCUUCUUAUUCAUUUCCCCAUCCCCUAAGAUAUACGAAAGGGCUUCUGUAAUGUUUGCAAAAUGAAUAAAUAAAACCCUGAGGUCUGUCAGAAUCACCCAGAACUGCUCUUCACAAGCACAGGACCCACUGGCAAGCCCCCAGGCCAUGCAGGCGCUGACCUUGAUCCUCAGGCACUGUGGUUCCUUCAAGGAAGCCUCUGGGAAGGCUGGAAUCCAGGUCACACAGAGGUAAUCCAGCUAGAAAAGGAAGGAGGCGCUUUCACAUGAGAUAGGAAGGGGCAGUAGAUGAGAAAUCGGCCUUGGAAACGCCGCUGUGUGGCUAGACUACGGGACUACGAGGAUGGACACUGUCUAAAACGAGACGUGUGCCCCCGCAUCUCAUGGAGACAACGAGCGCUGCUGCUGGGGAGACCCAGCCUGGGAGGUUGAUGAGGGAAGACAAAGGAGGCGGUUUCCUUUUUUCUGUAACUGAGGGCAGCAAUCGCUUUGCAGUCAUAAUUCGGACACUUAACAGUGAGCGCUUCUGAGAGGGGAGGAGGAGAUUGGGAGGCGAAGGAAGGAAGGGAGGAAGAGGAGCAUCCCCCGGGGC
rnacentral:lncRNA from 1 species